rnacentral:rRNA from 1 species
GGGAAUUCCAGCUCCAAUAGGGUAUAUUAAAGUUGUUGCAGUUAAAAAGCUCGUAGUUGAAUUUCGGGGUUAGUACGUUGGUCGUGCCUUUGGUAUGUACUGGUUUUACUGAUUCCUCCUUCUUGAAGAACCGUAAUGCCAUUAAUUUGGUGUGGCGGGGAAACAGGACUGUUACUUUGAAAAA